rnacentral:rRNA from 1 species
GACGAACGCUGGCGGCGUGCCUAAUACAUGCAAGUAGAACGCUGAAGGAGGAGCUUGCUUCUCUGGAUGAGUUGCGAACGGGUGAGUAACGCGUAGGUAACCUGCCUGGUAGCGGGGGAUAACUAUUGGAAACGAUAGCUAAUACCGCAUAAGAGUAGAUGUUGCAUGACAUUUGCUUAAAAGGUGCAAUUGCAUCACUACCAGAUGGACCUGCGUUGUAUUAGCUAGUUGGUGGGGUAACGGCUCACCAAGGCGACGAUACAUAGCCGACCUGAGAGGGUGAUCGGCCACACUGGGACUGAGACACGGCCCAGACUCCUACGGGAGGCGGCAGUAGGGAAUCUUCGGCAAUGGACGGAAGUCUGACCGAGCAACGCCGCGUGAGUGAAGAAGGUUUUCGGAUCGUAAAGCCCUGUUGUAAGAGAAGAACGAGUGUGAGAGUGGAAAGUUCACACUGUGACGGUAUCUUACCAGAAAGGGACGGCUAACUACGUG